UGAAGUUUUAUUAAAAGAAAAAGGGGUGAAAAGAACAAAGUUUUGUCCAUCUUUGUUCAUCAUAGCUGAAAGUUAGAGAAGAGAAAGGAGAGGAGAAAGCUCUUGAGUAUUCGGUCAUUAGGAGGAGGAAAAUUGAAGGUAAGUUCUUGGUACCUUGCUUCUAUUUUGAGUUUUAUGAGUUCUUCUUGAUUCUACCUUAACUCUUGAAGUAUAUUUUGAUUUUUAGUUGUGUUGUGAGCAUUUAGUCAUGAAUUAAAAUGAAGGAAAUGGUUGUUGUUUCAUGUUCUUUUGAUGAAAAAUGGAAGAUAGGUGAAGUUGAGCCAAACAAAUGAACAUGCAUGUGCCUUAGAUGCUAAAGGGAAAAAUCGGCUAACAUGUUGUGCUUUAAAAUGAUGAAAUGGAGAUUAUACUUAAGUAAAAUUAUAUAUAUGUGAUGAUUGAUUGGUGAUAUACAUGUUUAAAUAACAAGCAUGCAAGUUAGGUGUGAAAGAGUGAUUUGGUGAUAAAUCUGCUUGGGACAGUAGCAGUAACGUGACUUUGGAAAAUCACCAUAAAUUGUGGGAGAUGAGUUAGAAGCUGCAUAAAUUAUGUAAUUAAAGCUUAAUGAGUCUAGUUUCAAAUGGAAUAAACGAGAACAUAUUUUGAAUUCUGUACAAUGAGAAAUUUGAUUCAUAAUGAAGAGUGGUACGAUUAGUCAAACAAUGAAACAUGGGAAACUUUAAGAAAAUUCUGGUAUUGAUUGGCCAUACCAAAAAUUCUAAAAAUUUUAUGGAUAGAAGAUAAAUGAGUCUAUUUUCAGGGAAAAUUAACGGAACUUGAUUUGGAGUUUCGUAGCUCCAGUUAUAAAUAAUUUAGUGACUGUUGCUCAGGAUGACAGCUUGCAGUGAAAUUAUGAUUAUGUGGAAAACAUUGAAAAAAAAUUGGUUAAUGAGUUGCUUAUUGUUUUCUUAUAAGCUUACUAUGAUCUGUAGGUGUGGUUGGCCGAAUAUUGUAAGGGGUUAAUACGUAGUUCGUAUUUGAAUAGUUAGAUUAACGUGUUAGUAAUCCAAUUGUAGGCGGUUCGUGUGUGGAUCUCGUCAGCAUAUCGUCGCAAACAGGUGUGUAACUAACACCCUCUUUCUUAGUCUAGAUCGGUAAAAGCCAAAAAGCCAAAAUGCCGAAAACCGGUAUUUUGUAGAUUUGCGAGUGUGCGAAUGCUCGUGAGGUAAAUCGAUUAAUGUUUUUGGUAAGCUGCAAUGUUUGGACUGCAAAGUGCAUGAUUUCGGUGCCCUCGAUAUUUUUGGGCUUAAUGGGCCAAAAUUGGAAUGGUGGGCCAACGGGCCCAAUUCGGUAAGAACCCUCGGUACGUGAUUCUGUAGUACAUGAAAGGUAGGAAUAUGCAUGAAAAACCCUAAAAUAGAUAAAUUACUGAAAUACCUUUAAAAGUGGAAAAUUUACAGUUUUACCCCUAGUAGAUAAAUUACCGAAAUACCCCUAGGGUUAAAUUGACCUAAAUGCAUGUUUGACUGUUGUUAUUUACUGCAUGCCAUAUUGUUAUUAUCUGAUGCAUGGGAUUGGGAUAAUGACGGAGGAAGUACUGAAAGUGGCUUGUCCACGUACUGGAGGCUUUGCCUCAAUUUAUUGUUAACUGAGCAGCAAGGCUGCAACUGUGGAGUGCUCGGCUAGGUGGGUUGAGCUAUUCCCCACAUGGAGUGUAUGGCUGGUACGGGUGGAGUGUAGUGGUUGGUGGGUUGAGUAGUCUCCCCAAAUGGGCUUGCAUAUGUUUACUGAUGUUGCAUGUAUUUUGAAAUGGGUCUAUGGGCCAUACUGUUAUCUGAAUAAGGGGCUAAGGCCCAGUUUAUUGUAAUCUGAAAAGGGCUUUGGUCCAGUACCACUGUUACCUGAAUGGGCUUAGGCCCAAUAGGCUUGAGCUGACUUGGGCUUUGAAUGGGUUUUCCUUACACACUGAGUUUCCCCAAACUCACCCCUUUUAUUUUUAUCCACGCAGGAAAUCCCCAACCAUAGUGGGCUUGGAGCUGUGAGAGAAUUCGGAGUGGCCACCCGUUCUGAAAGUUUGAUUUUCUUCUGGUGAACUGGACAUCCUUUUAAUUACGUUUGAGGUUUUGGGCUUUUAAAUGUAAUAAGGCCGCUUAUUUAUUUUUGAUGGUUUUUAUAUGUUUUAUUAAUAU
rnacentral:lncRNA from 1 species